CGGGCUCAGAGCUCUCCCGGCCAAUGGGGUUGGUCAUAGUGAAUAAAGCGGCCAAUGGUGUUCCUCGAGUGGAGGUUCGUCGGUUGGCAGUUCAGUUAGCUUUGAAAUCGGUUGUGAGGGGUGAGGGAGAAAGGUUGGGACGACGAGUAUCAGCGUUUUAAAUUUAACAUUUUAAGUGAUUAUUUUAUUUUAUUUUAUUGUAAACUGCUUUGAGGUUUCAUUCUCCCUACAAGCAAGUGGUGUGUAUAUAUAUUAUGAAAUGAAUGAAUGAGUAUUUUAUUUCUUAUAUAAAACUCCCUCUCCAUUCUAGUGCCCAUGCAUGAUUCAAGGCAGCUUACAGCAGUUAAAAAAAGUAAAAUUAUAUUAAUACAGGCAACAACCUCAUAAUAAAAAUAUGUAUAAUAUUUAUACAUAAAUAAUAAAAAUAUGUAAAAUAUGCACAGGGAAAACGCCUUUAAUAAUAAAAUGCAUUUAAUAAUAAUAAUACUACUGUAAUAUAUAGUUUAAUAAUAAUAAAUUUAUUUCUUGCUCUUCACCCUAAUGUUUCAGGGCAGGCUGCAACAUUAGAAGCAACAUUUAAAAACAACUUUCAACCAUAAAAGCGAGGUGGGCCCUGAAAACAUACACCUCAAGUAUUAAAAGCUAGGCUAAAGUUCCUCUUUGGCAUUCUCCAAAAGGUGUACAGUGAGGGUGCCAGACGCAUGUUCUUGUUCUUGCAGGUGUUCCGCAGCUUAGGGGCCACCACAGAGAAGGCCCUCAGCCUCUGAGGGUGGAGGAACUACCAAGAGGGCCCCCUCUGCCUAUCUCAGCACCCAGGAAGGUCUGUAGGGAAGGAAGCGGGUUUUUCAGAUGUUUGGGUCCCCGAGUUGUAGGGCUUUAAACACCAAUGUGAACACUUUGAAUUGGGCCCGGAACCGAACUGGCAACCAAUGCAGCUGUUUCAAAACGGGUUACACGAGCUCUAAAUGGAACCCCAGCCAGCAGUCUGGCUGCUGUGUUUUGGACCAACUGAAGUUUCUGAGUCAUCUUCCAAGAGCAGCCCCAGGGAGAGUGCAUUGCAGUGACCAGUUUGGAAGUUACCAGAACCUGGAAGCUGGUGAAAAAAAGGCACUCUGAGCAACACACACACACACACACACACACACAGCGAGAGAGAGCGCAACAUUGGCUGAGAUUAUUGAUAACAAUGCCUUUCGCAGAUCAGCUAUAGAAAGCAAAAUCCUGCUGGAAUAAAUCUAUCAGCUGGGAAAAAAGAGCUAUUGUGAUGGGAGGGAGCUGAGACCUGGCGUUGGAGCCAAUUAAGUUCUACUCAGAGUAAACCCAUUUAAAUUAAGGGACCCGAGUUAUAGUCAUGCCCAUUAAUUUCAGUGGUUCUGCUUUGAUUAUUACUAACGUGGGAUGCAAACCUGAAAUGCAUUUAAAAUAUGUGUUAAAUAAUUCUUAUUUGAGGGUAGGUGCAGAGCCUUGAAUACAAAGGAAUCCAAGAACUGAUGAUGUUACACAAUGUUUGGUUUUUCUGAAGGCUGCAAUGUUUAUUUCUUUUACAGUAUUUAUAACCCCCUUCCCUUCAGCAUAAAUAUCUGUUUCCAGAGUGGCUGAAAAAGGAAUACGAUGCAAUAAAAUUUCAGUAAAAAAGCAUAAAAACUGAGGCAACCAACUAAAACAAUAAAUAGUGGUUAAAAGUAUUGAUUAGAAACUUGAAGCCAUUAAUUAAAAAGCUGUAGCAGCUUUAACAUUUUUUAAAAACUAGCUUUCAUACAUACUGAGAUGCAUUUGAAAACAAACAUUUCUGCCCUUGGAGUGUGGAUGGGGAGAAGCCAUCUCUAUGCAGGGUGCACUGAUUAGGUGUUUAUUUGUCAUUCCAGAGCUGAUAUAAAUGAAGCUGAUAGCAUUAACAAGGGAAGGGAUCUUUCUCAGUGAGACUGCAAGUUUUUGUACUUGAUGUUGGGGGAGAGGGGAAAAACCUGGAAGUUCCUGUUGAUGCUUACAAAAUAAAGCAGUGGCAACUUUUGGAAGAUACGAUCCUAAGUGUAUUUAUUCUGCUCAUGCCAAAGGAGCCACAGUAGUUCUAAAAGAUCAUGCAGACACAUCCCGUCCCAUGAGGCUGCAGCAGUGGGAGAGAUGGGGCUAUUACAUCUCUGAUGAAAGAUCAGCUAUUCAGCUCUAAGAACAGGUGUGUGACUAAGCUUCUUCUCCACUUUCCUCCUCAUCACUUUGUUCUUUUGAAUUGAGUCUUUUCAGACUAUAAACCUGUCUUGGAGUGGGACUGUCUUCUUAUAAUUGAUUCUAUGUAAGCUGCGAUGGGAGUCUUUCUAGCUGAAGAGCAGGAUAAAAAUGCUUUAAGUCAGGGUUUCUAUGACUUGGGUCUCUGGCUGUUUUGGACUACCGCUCCCAUCAUCCCUAGCUAGCAGGACCAGUGGUCAGGGAUGAAGGGAACUGUAGUUCAAAAGCAGCUGAGACCCAAGUUUUGAGAAACACUGCUUUAAAUAGAAACUUUGUCCUACAACUCAGGCAGCAAAAAGUCUUGAACUAGCUGCGAUGAAUGUAUAUAAAGAUCCAUAAAGUGAUUUCCAACAACCCACUCCCCCCUUUUUUACAAUUGCUCAAAAUAAUAAAAAACACUUCUGAAAAAACACAACCAAUCAAUGCAAAACGCUUUAGCCAGCAACUUAACAAUUUGCCAAUCUAUUGCAGAUAUAUUGAGAGAAAGGGCACACAGUACUGUAACCACACUGGUUCCUAUUUGUCAAAGCCAGAUCCAUUCCUUCAAUCUGUCGCUGUUUCUCCUCAUCUGAUUUUGACAGGAAGCUAUGUGCUGAGAUAAAGUACUUUUCCCUACCCAUUGGUGCAUUUGGGACAUUUAUUGGAGCAGAAAAUGGCUUGCCAGUCUUUCUGACACUUGUGACUUGUCUUUCUGUUCUGUCCCUUCCUGUUUACAGUAAUUCCUGUGGAAUAGGAGUGUGUAUAUGCGGUGCAUCAACUGGGGAAGGAAAAGAUGGUGGAAGAUUGCAUAGCACAAUCUUAGUUGCACAGUUUUUAAACAUUGACUUCUAAUGAAGGUGAUAUUUUAUUACACUGAUUAUAGUGGUGGUUUCGAAUGUGCUGACUAUGGACUAUGACAGGGAAGAGGUGUUUGUUCCAUUAGUUUCCUCCUCCCUUUCCCUCUCUCCCCCAUAAUCAAUGUAAUUGUCUUUAACACAAUCUCUCCAAUAAAUGUUCACCCAUUUACUUGAACGGUCUUUCUCCCGGCCUCCCCAUUAUAAUGAGAGAUUAAAUGAAUUACAGCACAAAUGUGAUGAGGAAUAUGUUGUGACUGCAGGAAAAAAAGAUGGGGGAAUCAUUUAUUACACUGGUAACAGUAGAGAGGGCAUAACCACCCAUUUAAAUUGGUUGCAGAAAAUAAAGAGUGUGAAUGUUUUGUUCCAAGGUGGUCUAGAUUUUUUCACAGCUGGUGGAAUGUGCUCAUUCUUCAGUAGAUUGGUAUCUAGGCAUCAUGAUUACAGAUAUAUAUUCUUGGAGAAGUAUGGGCAGGGAUUAGCUAAGGCAAGAGUGGGUAACCUGUGGCCCUCCAAUUGUCGGAGUACAGCUCCUGUUUGAGACCAUUGGCCAUGCUGGUGGGGGCUGAUGGGAAAUGAAGUCCAACAGCGCCUGGAGGGCUCAGGUUCCUGAUCCCGCUAAAGACUCAAAAGCUGGGAGAUGGAGUUUCAUUGUUUACAAGAAAGAGGAGGUGAUGGAUGGAUUUAUAUAGCCUGCCUUUCUGUGCUUGCUUUAUAGCAAAGUAGCCUUGUGUUUCUGCUAUCUCACAACUACAACUAUUCAACAGAAUUACAGAUUCAGACAUAAAUUUAACAAACAGAUGCAGUUACGACAUAUUAAAAAAUAACCAGCCCAAUGAUACAAGCAGACUGCUAGUGGGGGACAUGGAAAAAGCAAGGGUUUUUUUUCCUAAGUAGGAAGGAAGCCUCAUUUAUUUUGAGGGAAUUACUCUUGAGUCAAACAUGCCAAAGCCAGCCACUUAAGUUUUAUUCUGUAAAGGCAGCACGCUUGGGGAGUGAAUGAAAUAAUUUGGAUAAGGAGGAAAGUGCUUAAACAAACAUAGCCUAGUAUCCACCUCUGUCCAGGGUCGGGCUAGCAGUAAUGAACCACUCCUGCUUUUUCUGCUGCUCUCAGAUGGCCCCCUCCCAAGUCCCAGAUGAGGAUGGUCAGCAUUUCUUCCUCUAACCAGCCUUUCUCAACCUGUGGGUCCCCA